rnacentral:rRNA from 1 species
GACGAACGCUGGCGGCGUGCUUAACACAUGCCAGUCGAACGGAAAGGCCCUGCUUUUGUGGGGUGCUCGAGUGGCGAACGGGUGAGUAACACGUGAGUAACCUGCCCUUGACUUUGGGAUAACUUCAGGAAACUGGGGCUAAUACCGGAUAGGAGCUCCUGCUGCAUGGUGGGCGUUGGAAAGUUUCGGCGGUUGGGGAUGGACUCGCGGCUUAUCAGCUUGUUGGUGGGGUAGUGGCUUACCAAGGCUUUGACGGGUAGCCGGCCUGAGAGGGUGACCGGCCACAUUGGGACUGAGAUACGGCCCAGACUCCUACGGGAGGCAGCAGUGGGGAAUAUUGCACAAUGGGCGGAAGCCUGAUGCAGCAACGCCGCGUGCGGGAUGACGGCCUUCGGGUUGUAAACCGCUUUCGCCUGCGACGAAGCGUGAGUGACGGUAAUGGGUAAAGAAGCACCGGCUAACUACGUG